rnacentral:lncRNA from 1 species
GGGCCAGAGCUUCUCAUGCAGCCUGCACCAGCGCCGGGUCGGAGAGUCAGAGGCCACCCUGAGAUGGACCGAGAUCUUCAGUUGGGGAGGCGCCUCCGGAAACACAAAGAUGGUGCAGACCCAGGCCCUGCUUUGACUGGGAGAAAGAUGCAUUCAGUUGACUAAAACUUGAAGCUUGGUGGCAUGCAUGUUUAGUCCCAGCUACACAGCAGGGAGGCUGAGGCUGAAGGAAUACUUGAGCCCAGGAAUUCAAGACUAGCCUGCACAACAUAGUGAGACCCUGACUUUAAAAUAAAUUUAAAAAAAUUAAAAGCAACAAGACUUUCUGCUUGUAUAUGAUGAUGUUAGUAUGCUGACUUACAAGGUUAGAUCAUUUUGAUAUGUGUGAUGUAGGUUUUCAAAGCUGGCACUGUUUUAUGCUUCAAAUAUUAUUUUUAUUCAUUGGUUCUCAUGGGAUUUCAUCACUAAGCUGUAAAUCAAUAAUCAUAAUGUUGAGGGGAGGGGAUUACAAAAUAGCUCUUCAAAAUCAUCUUUGCAUUUCUCAAUAAACAGCAUUCCCUUUUGGACUACAGUGAAAAA